UAUCUAACAAUUUAUAUAAUUGUUAGUUAGAUUCUGGGUUGUACUUGUGCCGUUGUGUAAUCCCAAACUUAUCCAUCAAUAAAGGAACUUGAGUUUUGUUCUCUUUUUCUCCUGCCUUACUGUUUCUUGGUUUGAAAAUUUUACUGGUAAUGGUACUAUGUCUAACUAUGGUUAUUUUAAUUUCUUUUACUUAGUAAUUAGGAUGGAUGAAAAUACUCAGUUUUCAGAAAGGCAAUCUAUAGGUUCCACACCUUCUAGCCAUGCAAAGACUAAUUCUGCAUGGGAACACUUCUCGUCUAGUUGUGAUGUUGACGGUAAAGUUUGUGAUACUUGUCUUUAUUGCAACAAUAGCUUUAAAGGUAGGGGAAUUAAUAGAAUGAAAUACCAUCUUGCUGGAAUUAAAGGUCAAAUAUCUCAAUGUAAGAAAGUUCAUUUUGAUGUUCGAAUUAAAUUUCAAGGAGUUCUUAAUGAUAUAUCUAAAAAAAACAAGAUGCUAAAGAGGCUCAUGAUUGUAUUUUUGGGAAUGAUUAUAUAGAUUUAGAAAUUGGAGGAGAGGAAAUAGAAGAGGAUAUUCAAGAAAUACAUGUGUCUUUAGAAAAACGAAGUCAAGAAAAAGGGAAGAGGAAAGCAAAUGACAACAUUGAAACAUAUUUUGCUCCAAGGACUACUCCUGGAUCUCAGCCUAGUAUAAAGAGUGCUUUAGCUGGUAAACAAGCAAUAAAGAGAGCUCAUAUGUCUUGGGCUAGGUGGUUUUAUGAUGCUUGCAUUCCAUUUAAUGCUUUGCAAUCACCUUAUUUUCACCUUGCUUUAGAUGCUACUGUUGCAAUUGGUCCGGGAUUUAAAGGUCCAUCUUAUAAUGACAUUCGUGUUAAUUUGUUGAGAGAUUCCAAGAAAGAAUGUCAAUUGCUUGUUGACACUUAUCGAAGUCAGUGGAUAAAUAAUGGAUGUACAAUUAUGGCCGAUGGUUGGACCAAUCAAAGACAUAGAACUUUAUUAAUUUUUUAGUAUAUUAUUCUUCUGGGAUCGUAUUUAUAAAAUCUUAUGAUGCAUCAGAUGUAGUGAAAGAAGCUCAAACAUUGUGUAAUUUGUUUUCUGAGAUAGUUGAAUGGGUUGGACCUCAUAAUGUGGUUCAUAUGGUAACUGAUAAUGCCGCUAACUAUGUGGCGGCAGGGAAAUUAUUGCACGACAAAUAUGAUCACAUUUUUUGGUCUCCUUGUGCUGCACAUUAUUUGAAUCUUAUUUUAAAAGAUAUUAGUAGUAUGCGUCACGUACAUUCCCUUGCAUUACGUGCUUCGAAAAUUACAAUAUUUGUGUACAAUCACACAAUUUUUUUUUUGUCUUGGUUGCAAAAAAUACCUGAAUGGAGAGAAAUUGUACAUCCAGCUGUGACUCGUUUUGCUACCACUUUUAUUACAUUGAAAAUUAUUUAUGAUCACAAACAAGCAUUGCAGAGUUUGGCAAUAAUAGGCUUUCAAAAAGCGCAAACGGAAGACUCAUGAGCUCUAUUAUCUUGGAUAACAAGUUUUGGGAGGAUUGCUUGAUGGUCGUGAAAAUUGUAGCUCCUAUUAUAAGAUUGUUACGAAUUGUAGAUUCAGAUGAAAAACCUUCAUUAGGUUAUAUAUAUGGUGGCAUGCAUGGAGCACAAAAAGGAAUCAAGAACAUAUUCUUAAAUAAGAAGAGAUUGUACAAACCUUACACUGAUAUGAUUAAGGAGCGAUGGGAUAAACAUGUUCGUCUUAACAUACAUGCAGCAGCUUAUUUUUUUCAAUCCUGCUUUCAUUUAUGAAGAAGGAUUUUGUCAAAAAGUAGAAGUCAUGCAAGCUCUAUUCAAUUUGCUUGAAAUCAAAAGUAUUUGUGGUGAUGAGACAAAAGCAAUGGGGGAGAUAAGGAUGUAUCUAUAACGUGAAGGGAGUUUUGGAAGGCAAUCUGCAUGUAAUACUAGAAAAUCAUUACAACCUGAUGAAUGGUGGAAAUUGUGUGGAUCUAGUGCUCCAACUUUGCAAAAGAUAGCUGUUCGAAUACUUGGUCAAACAGCUUCUUUUUCGGGAUGUGAAAGGAAUUGGAGUGUCUUUGAACGUAUUCACACAAAAAAAAAAAAAAUAGAUUGGAGCAUCAAAGACUCAAUGAUCUUGUCUAUGUUACGUAUAAUUUGCGAUUGAAGAAUAGGCGUUAUUAUAAGAAGAGGUCUUACGAUCCAAUUGAUUAUGAGUGUAUUGACAAGACAAACUUUUGGAUAGAGGAAGAACUGCCACCACAGGAUUUCGAGUACGAAGACUUAGAUAAUGCUAUUUAUGAAGAAAAUGCAAUUUCCAAUGUUAAUGAUCAUGAAAUUGAUGAUAAUGUUCAAGAUGACAAUGAAAAUAAGGAUGAGAUUAAUACUCAAGAGAUGGGAGAUUUAGAUACAAUGGAUGUUAUUCAUCGUUUUGGUGGUUCAUGUGAACAUGGAAGCGAUCAAGGAUUGAGGCUUAUAGAUGAAAAUGAUA